rnacentral:rRNA from 2 species
AGCGAACGCUGGCGGCAGGCCUAACACAUGCAAGUCGAGCGCGUGUAGCAAUACACGAGCGGCAGACGGGAGAGUAACACGUGGGAACGUACCCUUCGGUUCGGAAUAACCCAGGGAAACUUGGACUAAUACCGGAUACGUCCGAAAGGAGAAAGAUUUAUCGCCGAAGGAUCGGCCCGCGGCUGAUUAGCUAGUUGGUGAGGUAACGGCUCACCAAGGCGACGAUCGGUAGCUGGUCUGAGAGGAUGAUCAGCCUCACUGGGACUGAGACACGGCCCAGACUCCUACGGGAGGCAGCAGUGGGGAAUAUUGGACAAUGGGCGCAAGCCUGAUCCAGCCAUGCCGCGUGGGUGAUGAAGGCCCUAGGGUUGUAAAGCCCUUUCGGCGGGGAAGAUAAUGACGGUACCCGCAGAAGAAGCCCCGGCUAACUUCGUGCCAGCAGCCGCGGUAAUACGAAGGGGGCUAGCGUUGCUCGGAAUCACUGGGCGUAAAGCGCACGUAGGCGGAUCGUUAAGUCGGAGGUGAAAUCCUGGAGCUCAACUCCAGAACUGCCUUCGAUACUGGCGAUCUUGGAGUCCGGGAGAGGUGAGUGGAACUCCGAGUGUAGAGGUGAAAUUCGUAGAUAUUCGGAAGAACACCAGUGGCGAAGGCGGCUCCCUGGCCCGGUACUGACGCUG